UACGUAGGGUGCGAGCGUUAAUCGGAAUUACUGGGCGUAAAGUGUGCGCAGGCGGUUUCUUAAGUCAGAUGUGAAAGCCCCGGGCUUAACCUGGGAACUGCGUUUGAAACUGGGAGACUUGAGUGUGGCAGAGGGGGGUGGAAUUCCACGUGUAGCAGUGAAAUGCGUAGAUAUGUGGAGGAACACCGAUGGCGAAGGCAGCCCCCUGGGUUAACACUGACGCUCAUGCACGAAAGCGUGGGGAGCAAACAGG
rnacentral:rRNA from 1 species